rnacentral:rRNA from 1 species
CACGUAGGCGGCCUGGUAAGUCAGAUGUGAAAGCCCGGGGCUUAACCCCGGAGGUGCAUUUGAUACUGCUAGGCUUGAGUAUGGGAGAGGGAAGUGGAAUUCCUGGUGUAGAGGUGAAAUUCGUAGAUAUCAGGAGGAACACCGGUGGCGAAGGCGACUUCCUGGACCAAUACUGACGCUGAGGUGCGAAGGCGUGGGUAGCAAACA